UAACACGUAUCCAACCUGCCGUCUACUCUUGNACAGCCUUCUGAAAGGAAGAUUAAUACAAGAUGGCAUCAUGAGUCCACAUGUUCACAUGAUUAAAGGUAUUCCGGUAGACGAUGGGGAUGCGUUCCAUUAGAUAGUAGGCGGGGUAACGGCCCACCUAGUCUUCGAUGGAUAGGGGUUCUGAGAGGAAGGUCCCCCACAUUGGAACUGAGACACGGUCCAAACUCCUACGGGAGGCGGCAGUGAGGAAUAUUGGUCAAUGGGCGAGAGCCUGAACCAGCCAAGUAGCGUGAAGGAUGACUGCCCUAUGGGUUGUAAACUUCUUUUAUAAAGGAAUAAAGUCGGGUAUGGAUACCCGUUUGCAUGUACUUUAUGAAUAAGGAUCGGCUAACUCCGUGCCAGCAGCCGCGGUAAUACGGAGGAUCCGAGCGUUAUCCGGAUUUAUUGGGUUUAAAGGGAGCGUAGAUGGAUGUUUAAGUCAGUUGUGAAAGUUUGCGGCUCAACCGUAAAAUUGCAGUUGAUACUGGAUAUCUUGAGUGCAGUUGAGGCAGGCGGAAUUCGUGGUGUAGCGGUGAAAUGCUUAGAUAUCACGAAGAACUCCGAUUGCGAAGGCAGUCUGCUAAGCUGCAACUGACAUUGAGGCUCGAAAGUGUGGGUAUCAAACAGGAUUAGAUACCCUGGUAGUCCACACGGUAAACGAUGAAUACUCGCUGU
rnacentral:rRNA from 1 species